GACGAACGCUGGCGGCGUGCUUAACACAUGCAAGUCGAACGGAAAGGCCCUGCUUUUGUGGGGUGCUCGAGUGGCGAACGGGUGAGUAACACGUGAGUAACCUGCCCUUGACUUUGGGAUAACUUCAGGAAACUGGGGCUAAUACCGGAUAGGAGCUCCUGCUGCAUGGUGGGGGUUGGAAAGUUUCGGCGGUUGGGGAUGGACUCGCGGCUUAUCAGCUUGUUGGUGGGGUAGUGGCUUACCAAGGCUUUGACGGGUAGCCGGCCUGAGAGGGUGACCGGCCACAUUGGGACUGAGAUACGGCCCAGACUCCUACGGGAGGCAGCAGUGGGGAAUAUUGCACAAGGGGCGGAAGCCUGAGGCAGCAACGCCGCGUGCGGGAUGACGGCCUUCGGGUGGUAAACCGCUUUCGCCUGUGACGAAGCGUGAGGGACGGGAAUGGGGAAAGAAGCACCGGCUAACUACGU
rnacentral:rRNA from 1 species